GAGUUUGAUCAUGGCUCAGAUUGAACGCUGGCGGCAGGCCUAACACAUGCAAGUCGAGCGGUAGAGAGAAGCUUGCUUCUCUUGAGAGCGGCGGACGGGUGAGUAAUGCCUAGGAAUCUGCCUGGUAGUGGGGGAUAACGCUCGGAAACGGACGCCAAUCCCGCAUACGUCCUACGGGAGAAAGCAGGGGACCUUCGGGCCUUGCGCUAUCAGAUGAGCCUAGGUCGGAUUAGCUAGUUGGUGAGGUAAUGGCUCACCAAGGCGACGAUCCGUAACUGGUCUGAGAGGAUGAUCAGUCACACUGGAACUGAGACACGGUCCAGACUCCUACGGGAGGCAGCAGUGGGGAAUAUUGGACAAUGGGCGAAAGCCUGAUCCAGCCAUGCCGCGUGUGUGAAGAAGGUCUUCGGAUUGUAAAGCACUUUAAGUUGGGAGGAAGGGCAGUAAAUUAAUACUUUGCUGUUUUGACGUUACCGACAGAAUAAGCACCGGCUAACUCUGUGCCAG
rnacentral:rRNA from 1 species